UACGAAGGGGGCUAGCGUUGUUCGGAAUCACUGGGCGUAAAGGGCGCGUAGGCGGCAGGCCAAGCGUGCGGUGAAAGUCCGGGGCUCAACCCCGGAUCUGCCGUGCGGACUGGUUUGCUAGAGCACUGUAGAGGCGAGUGGAAUUCCGGGUGUAGCGGUGGAAUGCGUAGAGAUCGGGAGGAACAUCAGUGGCGAAGGCGGCCAUCUGGGACAACACUGACGCUGAAGCACGAAAGCGUGGGGAGCAAACAGG
rnacentral:rRNA from 1 species